GAUUGCCCCUGCCUUGCAGCAGACCGGCCGCAGCUGACUGAUUGAAAGGAAGCAGGGACUCCGCUGAUGGCUCGGGACAGAGAAGGCAGCUGCAACAGCAAAACCCUGCAGACCAGCUCCACGGCUGAAGAACCCGAGGCACAGAUGGGCAGCUAGGGAGAGGCAGGAGGUCUGGACAAUCAUCUGCCCCCUUUAGGGCGUCCGGGGAGGCCAGCAUGGUGUUUCAGAUGUGGGGAAGGAAGCCUCGGGGGCCGUGAUCUCUCUAAUGGAGAAUUCGCCCAGUCAGAGGCUGUUUGCCUGUUAAUACCACAAUAGCAGAAUGGUCAUUUGUUGAAGGCCUGUAUGACUUCUAACCUCACAUUAACCUUGAUGGGCGGGGGAGAUGGCUAAACCCUGUGUUACACGUGGGGAAAUUGAAAAUUAGAGACGGUGAGUAACUCCUGAGAGCUUACCAGCAAGCAAGGCUCACAGAGGACUGGAAAGCAGACUGCCUGGGCCGCAGAGCCUGGGCGGUUCCUAUUCUAGUACCCGGGGCUGGGAGUGAGGGCAGCCUCUUGGGAACUUGUGAACUUGUGAACCUGUGUAUGCUUUCCACUUGUCCUUUCGUUUAAUUAAUUAAUUAAUUAAUUUU